rnacentral:lncRNA from 1 species
GACUUCCGGUGUCAGUAAUUUCCUCAGCCGCGCUCACUCCGCUAGUUUUCCUGGGAGUCACGGUGCUUGGUCGCGUUAUUGGGUCCGGGAAUUCAGAGAAUCAGGGCCAGCUGAUACUUCACCCUCUUAUCCCAACGCCAACCCUUGAUAGAUGCGAACCAGUCGUAUUUCCUUUGUGGGAAAGGAGUCGCUUUUUAAAGACGUGCACUGGCCAUCUAGGGAGGAGCUUUUACUUCAACUCAAAAUAGGACUGGAGCUGACUGGUGACCUGGCGCUCGAUGGACGGAAACGCUGUUCUUGCCGCUUCGGCAGCUCCCAUACUGGUGGGAGAGGCAAACUUGCAGUCUGCUCAUCUUAAGAUGGUGAAUGUUGAGAUAGGGUUGCUCCCGAAAAGCCGAGAAGAGGAGCCGUUUGACCCAACUUGAGGGUGAUCCGAUAGACACUCUUUAGGGCGUCUGCAGAGUGGGUGCGCGUGGAGACAGUCAAUAAGAGAAAAUCGUAAAUACAGAUGGUAUUCUAAAUCUAGCAUGCAUGUAAAGUUGUGUGACAUUUUAAAGAUUACAUUUUACACUUUA